rnacentral:lncRNA from 1 species
CAAGAUUUGUUGUAGUGCAAUGGGGUGUCUUCUCUAGGUGCGAAGGGGAGGAGGCCAUGCAGUAGGGACUGGAACAGUGGACAACUGGAACUAGUGACAGCAUGAAGUUCAACAAAAGAAAAUGCUGGGUUCUGCACCUGGGAUGGAGUAACACCAGAUACAGACCAAUUACCUGGGUGUGUGUGUGUGCACUGAGAGGGAAAUUCACUUUGCUAAAGGUGUCAAUAACUGAACCGGAAUGCAAAGCAAUGGAAGUAGUCUCAUUCUGUGGGUCUAUAUGUGAAGCUCUAGAAACUCCAUUUAUGUGAACUGAAAUCCACUAUCAGAGACUAACCAAGAGAAACUUGUCUGGUAAG